rnacentral:rRNA from 1 species
CCUACGGGAGGCAGCAGUGAGGAAUAUUGGUCAAUGGGAGAGAUCCUGAACCAGCCAAGCCGCGUGAGGGAAGACGGCCCUAUGGGUUGUAAACCUCUUUUGUCGGAGAACAAAACCCGGGACGAGUCCCGGACUGCGUGUAUCCGACGAACAAGCAUCGGCUAACUCCGUGCCAGCAGCCGCGGUACUACGGAGGAUGCGAGCGUUAUCCGGAUUUAUUGGGUUUAACGGGUGCGUAGGCGGUCUGUUAAGUCAGCGGUAAAAGUGCGGGGCUCAACCCCGUCGAGCCGUUGAAACUGGGAGACUUGAGUUGGCGAGAAGUACGCGGAAUGCGCGGUGUAGCGGUGAAAUGCAUAGAUAUCGCGCAGAACUCCGAUUGCGAAGGCAGCGUACCGGAGCCAGACUGACGCUGAGGCACGAAGGCGUGGGGAUCGAACAGGAUUAGAUACCCCGGUAGUC